rnacentral:lncRNA from 1 species
UGGGUGGCCCUGCUCCUUCCAGAGGCCGGCUGACUGGUGGCAUCCCUGAGAGGCACCUCCCGACUGGGACUGUUUCCAUCAGCAGGAUUUUGAGCUGUAUGGAAUGCCACGCUUUUAAAAUAAUCUGUAAUUCGACACCAACAAACAGGAAAGCAAAUGUGUUUAUAAGAAGGCGAUUUAUUUUCAGGGGGAAAGAGUUUGGGGGAAGACACCGGCAGAAAAAAUGACAAAGAAAGUGAGUGGAAGUCCAGACUUCGUGAGUCAUCCUUCAAGGCCUCUGUGUGUGUUUACGGGCUGAAUCGUGUCUCCCCAGAGCUCAUACGUUGAAGCCCUACCCCUUGAGUAACUCAGAAUGAGACCUUAUUUGGAAAUGGUGUCAUGGUAGACAUGAUUGAAGAUGAGGUCAUAGUGGAGAGGGUGGCCCCUUUUCCAAUGUGAGCGGUGUCCUAAUGAGACGGGGACAUUGGGAUACAGACAUACGCACGGGGAGAAGGCCAGGUGGGGAUGGCAGUAGGACUGCUACAAACCAGGGAGGCUGGGAGGGAGGUUGCAGUCAGAUUCUCCUGUGGCUGCCUCCAAUGGGAGCGUGGCCCCGCCACACCUUGAUCUCAGACUCCUCAUCUGCAGAAUGGAUUCCUUCGGUGGUGACUUGCUGAAGCCUAGAUAAGCUGCUCGCCAUUAUUUCCUUGAUUUACCAUUCUCAUGCCCCCGCCAUAAGAAAAUGAGAUCAGCUGCCUGUGACCCGACUGACUCCUGGGACAUGCUACUUAUUUUUCUGAGGUCUUCUGAAGCAUGAAUUUUGGCAUUUUAGAACCUUGUGUCAGGAAUAAACUUAAGGGCCAAAGUUUCUGGAGUUACCUUCUUGCCCUUUGUGGCCCCCAGAACCACCCGUAUCUCUGAAUGCUGGAACAGCUCUCCAGGGUCCACAGGCUGACUGCAUGCUGCAGGUCGCUGAGGUGGGAGGCAGGACCCCACUUGCAUCAUCCAGGUACCCAUUCACCGUGGCCACCCCCACCCCAUCCUGGGCCUCAGUUGUCUCACUUGCUGUCCUUGGUCCUUGGGAUGCUUUACUUUUUUUUGUGUCAACCUGGCUAGACCACAGCUCCCAGAUAUUUAGCCAAACAUUAUCUUAGAUGUUUCUGUGAAAUAAUUUCUAGAUGAGAUUAAAAUUAAAUUUGUAGACGUGGAGUAAAGCUGCAUGCUUCCAUAAGGUAGACCGGCCACAUCUAAUCAGUGGAAGGCCAAAAUGGGAAACAUACUGAGGUCCCUUGAAGAAGAGGGAAUUCUGCCAGCAGACGACCUUUAGACUCAAACCACAACUCUUUCCUGGGUCUCCAGCCUACAGGCCUACUUUGUAGAUUUUGUACUUGUCAAGCCUCCAUGAUUACAUGAGUCACUUAUUUAAAAUAAAUCUUUCCCUUUCUCUUUUUCCCCCCUCUCUGUACAUACUCUAUUGGUUAUGUUUCUCUGGAGAACUCUGAUGACUACAGUCCUCUGUCCAGUAUUAGCAUUAUAUUGACGGACAAAGUAGAUAAAAUAGAAGUGGAGGAGUUCUCCUUUCUAUCGUGAGCUCCUCUCUUCUGUUUCUCUGCAGCCCAUUUUGAUUUGUUCCUUCCUGAAAGUACUCUGCCAGGGCUCUGUUGAGCUCCCUUUAAAAACAUAAACUUAGCAACUACUAUGUGCAGAGCACUGGCUU